rnacentral:rRNA from 1 species
AUUGAACGCUGGCGGUAGGCCUAACACAUGCAAGUCGAGCGAGCGGCGGACGGGUGAGUAAUGUCUGGGAAACUGCCUGAUGGAGGGGGAUAACUACUGGAAACGGUAGCUAAUCCCGCAUACCAUCAGAUGUGCCCAGAUGGGAUUAGCUAGUAGGGGGGGUAACGGCUCACCUAGGCGACGAUCCCUAGCUGGUCUGAGAGGAGGCACAGCCAAACUGGAACUGAGACACGGUCCAGACGCCUACGGGAGGCAGCAGUGGGGAAUAUUGCACAAUGGGCGAAAGUCUGAUGAAGCAAUGCCGCGUGUGUGAAGAAGGUCUUCGGGUUGUAAAGCACUUUCAGCGGGGAGGCGUUACCCGCAGAGGAAGCACCGGCUAACUCCGUGCCAGCAGCCGCGGUAAUUC